GUGACAAAUAAGGCACUUCAAAGUUGGCCUCUCUUUGUACAUUCUCUGAUUUUUGUUGAAGUGAUUCUUCUUUGAAUGGUUUUUUCUCUUAAAGUAAAGGGAUUCAGCUCCUCCAGCAUUCUUUCCUUUUAAUUGCAACUCCAAUUCUUCGCUUCUUAAGGCUGUAAGGAUAGCAUCUACUGUCACAGGUUGAGCUUAUCCAAGAAAACAAAAAAGAAGUAGAUGUCAUGUGUGUGGACUUCAUAUUUCCACGUCGCUUCAAUAGGUGGAAAUCGAGUGAAGAUUUUGAAUUCAAAACGUUAGAAAAUCAAGCAUAUACAAUUCGAGUAAUGAAAGGAGAAAAGAAAGAUGAACACAGAGAUGUAUAGUGACUCGGUGUUUUCACCUGCAUCCACUCUUCAAACGAUUUUCAAGCUUCAUUCAAGGACUUCAAGAUUACAACCAUCAGAACUAAGAUAAGUUCUUUAACAGCUCCCUCUCCAACUCUAUCUCUCUGAACUUUUACAAUAUUUUUCAUCCUACAUAGCAAGAAAUUAUAUAUAUGUAUUUCUUCUUGCGUUUUGCCUUUUAUUACAGAUAACUAAAAUAAAAAAAAAUAGUUGAGUAAUUAGUUGUAACCAUUUUCUGUUUUAUUUGUUUUACCAAGGGUUGGAGUUUUGAGUUUGGAGUUGGAGUUUUUUAUUCAGCUUCACAACAAUUAUGUUUAUAUAUAAUUCCUAUAAACUUUAAAGAUGUUUAAUAGGUCCAUAAAUUCUCGAUUUUGUAUUUAAUAAAUUCAUAAAAUAUCAAUUAUGUAUUCAAUAUAUCUCUUACAUAUUUGAAAAUGUUAAAAGUAAAAUGUGAUUUUUGACGCUAAAUUUAAAAUUUAACUGUGUUUGAUAGGCUCUAUUAGACAUCUUUUUAAAAUUAAUUUAUUUAUCAACUACAAAAUUUAUACUUCAAGGUUCAGUUAGACACAAACUAAUUUUUUCUUAUCUUAUAAUACAAUUAAUUUUUAAAUACUUUUAAUAUUUCUUUAAUCGAUUAGAUAUAAAAUAAAAAUUUAUAGAUUUAUUAGACAUUUUUAGGCAUUAGAGUCAAAAAUUGAAAGUUCAAGAGUUAAUUAGUAACCACUUUCAAAAUCUAGGGACCAAAUUAUAAUUUAACCCUUGUAUAAAUAUAAUUUUUAAAUACAUAAAUAUAUGAUAUCUAGAUUAAGUAAUACUAAAUAUAAAAUUUUUAUAAAUCUGUAUAACAUUAUUCACCUAAAAAUCAUUAAAUUAAUUUUCAUAAAAUAAUUUUAUAAAGACUAAAAAAAUUUGUAUAUUUCUAUAUAUAAGAGAAAAAUAAAAUGAUAUUAAGUUUCUCGAAUCAGUUUGAAGGGUACAUAAAAAUCAACUAGGUUCUUACAUUAGAAAAUGGAAAUUGCUUAGAGUACUUUGACAGUUCAAGCUAAAAGCCACGAUCAUGUAGAAGUCGGUCUUGAGAAGGUGAAUUGUUGGCAGAAAAAUGAGAGAAAGAGGGAGGGGAGAGACAAGAGGAGAGGGAAAGAUUAAAAAUAUAAUUCUUUUUCAAGGUUAACUUGUCACCUCAACCAUUUAGCCAAAUUUUUGUUAAAAUUAGGGUUUGACAAAAAUUCUUGCGGGGUUGACCCACCCCAACUGGAAUGGAAAUGGAGGUCAAACCAAAGAUUAUAAUAGGAUCCCCGAUUGAGGACGGGGUGGGAACAGGGAGGAUAUCCCCAUCCCAUUUUUCGUCCCCAACCCUGUCCUCGAUUAACUUUUUUAUUUUUUUAAUAUAUAUAUAUAUAUAAAAACGGGGAUGGGUCCCUAGGGGGACCGAUUUUCUCCGUGGGGAAUUCCCGUAUCCGUCCCCAUUCCAC